AUGAUUCCCACACCUCUUCUGUUGUUACUGCUGCUGCCAGCUACCACCUGUGUUAAUGGCAUUGAGCUCAUCCAGCCCAGUGCAGUUGUUGUGAAACCAGGGGAGUCCUUCUCCAUCUCCUGUAAGAUAUCUGGGUUCUCAACAAGUCACUGUUACAACUGGAUACGGCAGCCUGUGGGGAAGGUUCUGGAGUGGGUUGGCUAUGUGUGUGGCAGUGGAAGUAGUGGAACCAAGGACUCCCUAAAAGGCAAGAUCAGCUUCAGAGCAGAGGCAUCCUCUACUACAGUGUUUUUGCAAGGCCAACACUUCCAGGCGGAGGACACAGCUGUGUAUUAUUGCACUCGAAAGCCCACAGCAUGA